GGGGAUAUAAUUCAAUUGGUAGAAUACUAACUUUGCAUGUUAGUUGUCUUGGUUCGAUUCCGAGUAUCUCCA